rnacentral:rRNA from 1 species
GAUGAACGCUGGCGGCGUGCCUAAUACAUGCAAGUCGAGCGAACGGACGAGAAGCUUGCUUCUCUGAUGUUAGCGGCGGACGGGUGAGUAACACGUGGAUAACCUACCUAUGAGACUGGGAUAACUUCGGGAAACCGGAGCUAAUACCGGAUAAUAUUUUGAACCGCAUGGUUCAAAAGUGAAAGACGGUCUUGCUGUCACUUAUAGAUGGAUCCGCGCUGCAUUAGCUAGUUGGUAAGGUAACGGCUUACCAAGGCAACGAUGCAUAGCCGACCUGAGAGGGUGAUCGGCCACACUGGAACUGAGACACGGUCCAGACUCCUACGGGGGGCAGCAGUAGGGAAUCUUCCGCAAUGGGCGAAAGCCUGACGGAGCAACGCCGCGUGAGUGAUGAAGGUCUUCGGAUCGUAAAACUCUGUUAUUAGGGAAGAACAUAUGUGUAAGUAACUGUGCACAUCUUGACGGUACCUAAUCAGAAAGCCACGGCUAACUACGUG